AAGGCAGUUUAAUCCUUCCUUUACACAGCAAGACAGGUUCUUUUAACAUCUGCUUUUGAUGACAAAAACAUCUCACUUGUGGAACUGUUAAAACACAGUUUGCAGCACUGGGGGAUCUGGGAGGUUUCAGUGGAAUGCUGGACUUUACAGACCUUCCUGGGCAGAUUAUUCCCUUGUGGAAGCAUACACACUCUUCUCUCUGGCUUCAGCCUGGGUUUGGUACUGUCUCUCUCACAUCUGGUAAAAAACUACCCUGCGAGCUUGACAAAUGGUGUUGCAGCAGUGACUAUGUGAAAAUCAGAUGGGCAAUCCCAUAGGUCCUAUUUUUAUUUAGGUUUGGCUUGCUGGCUUGUUCUGGUGACCUCUGCUGAGGUUCGGCGUAGGAUACCCGUGGUUACCACGUGGUAACUUAUUUCCCCUGAAGUUUCAACAUGUUCACAACUUUGGUUGUAUUUUCUUUUUCUCUCCCUUUUUCUCCUGUUUACCAUGGGUAAAAUGAAAUGAUUGAUGGCCCAGGAUUCAAUGAUUCACCUUUUAUUUCCCUGUCCUACCAAAUCUUAGAGUCUGAGUUUGGAAGUUCAAAUGGACAAAUAAGUUUCCAUUUCAUUCCCCUUUGCAAUUCAGCUUUUCCAAAGCUUAAUAGGUUUUAACUGUAGCACAAAGAAACCUUAUAAAUACAUUACAUUUCAGACAUUCAUCAUGUUCUACUGUCUGGCAGAAAAAAGAAAAAGUGAUCAUUCACAUUUUUUUAUCAAAACUUGAGUAAAAUGAGUAUUAGAAAAGUCUCCCUCAGAAAGCCUCCACUUUAGGGUUAGACCUUUUCACACUAGAGCAAGGAAAAAGAUUUUAUUGUUUUGAAUGUGAUAGUAUAUCCCUAGCUCAAGCUCUUCCCAGGUUUCCAGUGGCGGAGCUGCGUCUGCGUGAGCUGGAUGAUGCCGGGGAAGCAAACACCUCGACGUGAGCGACGCCUGGGCUGUGCUCCAAGCCGUGAUACACGAACCGUGUGCCUCAUCCCACAGGUUAUUCCCCCAAAGGUGCCAGCUCCUGAAAGCCUGGGCUUUGCCCAAGGAGGUCACCACUGUGGGGCUUCUCCUGAGAUAUCUGGUCUCCUUCAAAGUGGCAUCCACAGGAGGGGGUCGUCCCUUCAACACAGAGUAAUUCUGCCUGGAGGCUAUUUAGUGAAGAACCUUGCUGGUUUUGGGCCCACUGGAAACUAUUUAUCGCUGUUUACAGAAGAGAAAAGCCGGGCCACCAGAUUAGCAACCAAAUCUAAGACUGAUUUCAAAGUACAUUCUCCGAUAGAACAAUACCCAUCUUUCCAGUUCCGGGAUGGGAGCGGAUACCUGAGUAAAACAUCACUGUCGAAAGGCAGCCUGACUUUCACCAACUGUGGGGACAAAAAGAAUAUGCAUACCUUCCAGAAGAAAACACUGUAGCUAGGCCUCAAAGGUUCAUUAUCAAAUGAUUUCCAUGAGGUCGAGAGGUUUCCAGCAGUGAAUGGAGCAUCUCAGCCUUGGUUUCACAAAGGAGAGAUGGACCUAGGUGCACAAGGAUCUGUCAUGUGCAAUUGUGUUUACUUGUGCCUGUUUGCUAACCUCCAGCUUCG
ensembl:lncRNA